ncrna:unclassified sequences DTF3268 RNA
GGCAGGGGCUUUCGCCCCGGCUUUCGGGACAUCGGAGAGCUCCCGGGGUCAUACAUGCCGCACAGAGGCAUGGAACCCGUUACGGAUUAGCGCACAGAGCGAUCCACAAUGACGCAAGCC